ACUAGUUUGGUUUAGCGUUUGGGACUUUAGGGUUUGGGGCGGCGGCUGUCGGUCUGUGCCUGUGUGGCGGUUGCGGGUCGUCUUCACUGCUCGGUUGCUCGCGCGAGUCGCGCACCAGUCCCAACUAAUUCCGCCGCCGACGCAGCAAGCAGUGCAGCAACCAGCAAGCAGGCAAGCUGCGCGAGAAAGCAAAAGCAAGCAAGCAAACAAUAAGCCGAGCAGGCAAGCCGCGCAGGGGGCCGGCCGGCCGGGCAAGCAAGCAGCAGGCAGCGCAGCAAGCAGAGCAAGCGCAACAAGCAGGAGCAGCGCCGCAAGCAGAGCAACACAGCAAGCAAGCAGAGCAAGCGCAACAAGCAGGAGCAGCGCCGCAAGCAGAGCAACACAGCAAGCAAGCAGAGCAACGCAGCGGCGUAGCAAGCAGUGUACAAUAUAAAGAGAGUUCGAACAAUUACAUCGAGAGGGAUAAAUUUGCAUAUAUUGAAGAUCGUCAAAUUAUGGAGCAUUAUCAAGCCAUUAGAACACGAAGGGAGCAAAUACCAAAGACAAGAAAUUUCAGGAAAUGUUUCUAUUGUUGAUGAAAGCAACCUAAGUAAUUGAUGAAUUGGUCAUUGAGACAAAGAUCUAUCAUUUUCAUAAUUAGUGUUAUUUCCGGCCCUACCCUUAGAAGUAUCCUGGCUCCGCCACUGAUGGGACCUGCUAAUCUCUGAAUUGAGAUUGCUUUCAAAAUCAUGCAUGAUCCUUGCCAGAUGGUUUUAAACCCCUUGAAACGCAGAUGCAAUCACGAUUCACGAACUUGGAGACGCUAAAAUUCAAAUUCGAGAAAAUCCAAGUUUACGGCCAAUUCCUUCCGCUAAGCAGUAAGACUGUCUCCAGCAACAUCCUCUAUAUACAUCCUCUAUAUCCGUCAUUUACAGUCUUCUCUAAAAUAUUCCAUCUUCUAUAUAUACUUUCUCUCCAACAACGUCCUCUAUAUAUAAAUACCUAUAUUAAAGACAUUUUUAAUUUUUAAUUUUUGU